rnacentral:rRNA from 1 species
CAGCAGCCGCGGUAAAACAGAGGGUGCGAGCGUUAAUCGGAUUUACUGGGCGUAAAGCGUGCGUAGGCGGCUUUUUAAGUCGGAUGUGAAAUCCCUGAGCUUAACUUAGGAAUUGCAUUCGAUACUGGGAAGCUAGAGUAUGGGAGAGGAUGGUAGAAUUCCAGGUGUAGCGGUGAAAUGCGUAGAGAUCUGGAGGAAUACCGAUGGCGAAGGCAGCCAUCUGGCCUAAUACUGACGCUGAGGUACGAAAGCAUGGGGAGCAAACAGGAUUAGAUACCCGUGUAGUCCCUGUCUCUUAUAA